rnacentral:SRP_RNA from 1 species
AACAAUGCUACUACAACAAUAUCUAACUAAUCUGGUCAGGUCGGGAACGAAGCAGCCACGUGGAAGCUCUAUUGUGUGUGGUAGCUUUUAAUUU